CGGGAUAGCUCAGUUGGUAGAGCAGAGGACUGAAAAUCCUCGUGUCA
rnacentral:tRNA from 1 species